UACGGAGGGUGCAAGCGUUAUCCGGAUUUACUGGGUUUAAAGGGUGCGUAGGUGGGUUAGUAAGUCAGUGGUGAAAUCUCCGAGCUUAACUUGGAAACUGCCAUUGAUACUAUUAAUCUUGAAUACCGUGGAGGUCAGCGGAAUAUGUCAUGUAGCGGUGAAAUGCUUAGAUAUGACAUAGAACACCAAUUGCGAAGGCAGCUGGCUACACGAAUAUUGACACUGAUGCACGAAAGCGUGGGGAUCAAACAGG
rnacentral:rRNA from 1 species